rnacentral:rRNA from 1 species
AUUGAACGCUGGCGGCAGGCCUAACACAUGCAAGUCGAGCGGAUGAAGGGAGCUUGCUCCUGGAUUCAGCUGCCGACGGGUGAGUAAUGCCUAGGAAUCUGCCUGGUAGUGGGGUAUAACGUCCGGAAACGGGCGCUAAUACCGCAUACGUCCUGAGGGAGAAAGUGGGGGAUCUUCGGACCUCACGCUAUCAGAUGAUCCUAUGUCGGAUUAGCUAGUUGGUGGGGUAAAGGCCUACCAAGGCGACGAUCCGUAACUGGUCUGAUAGGAUGAUCAGUCACAAUGGAACUGAAACAAGGUUCAGACUCCUAAGGGAAGCAAGAGGUGGGAAAAAUGGAAAAAGGGCGAAAGCCUGAUCCAGCCAUGCCGCGUGUGUGAAGAAGGUCUUCGGAUUGUAAAGCACUUUAAGUUGGGAGGAAGGGCAGUAAGUUAAUACCUUGCUGUUUUGACGUUACCAACAGAAUAAGCACCGGCUAACUUCAUG